rnacentral:rRNA from 1 species
AGAGUUUGAUCCUGGCUCAGGAUGAACGCCGGCGGUGUGCCUAAUACAUGCAAGUCGUACGCACUGGCCCAACUGAUUGAUGGUGCUUGCACCUGAUUGACGUUGGAUCACCAGUGAGUGGCGGACGGGUGAGUAACACGUAGGUAACCUGCCCCGGAGCGGGGGAUAACAUUUGGAAACAGAUGCUAAUACCGCAUAACAACAAAAGCCACAUGGCUUUUGUUUGAAAGAUGGCUUUGGCUAUCACUCUGGGAUGGACCUGCGGUGCAUUAGCUAGUUGGUAAGGUAACGGCUUACCAAGGCGAUGAUGCAUAGCCGAGUUGAGAGACUGAUCGGCCACAAUGGAACUGAGACACGGUCCAUACUCCUACGGGAGGCAGCAGUAGGGAAUCUUCCACAAUGGGCGCAAGCCUGAUGGAGCAACACCGCGUGAGUGAAGAAGGGUUUCGGCUCGUAAAGCUCUGUUGUUGGAGAAGAACGUGCGUGAGAGUAACUGUUCACGCAGUGACGGUAUCCAACCAGAAAGUCACGGCUAACUACGUGCCAGCAGCCGCGGUAAUACGUAGGUGGCAAGCGUUAUCCGGAUUUAUUGGGCGUAAAGCGAGCGCAGGCGGUUGCUUAGGUCUGAUGUGAAAGCCUUCGGCUUAACCGAAGAAGUGCAUCGGAAACCGGGCGGUGAGUGCAGAAGAGGACAGUGGAACUCCAUGUGUAGCGGUGGAAUGCGUAGAUAUAUGGAAGAACACCAGUGGCGAAGGCGGCUGUCUGGUCUGCAACUGACGCUGAGGCUCGAAAGCAUGGGUAGCGAACAGGAUUAGAUACCCUGGUAGUCCAUGCCGUAAACGAUGAGUGCUAGGUGUUUGGAGGGUUUCCGCCCUUCAGUGCCGGAGCUAACGCAUUAAGCACUCCGCCUGGGGGAGUACGACCGCAAGGUUGAAACUCAAAGGAAUUGACGGGGGCCCGCACAAGCGGUGGAGCAUGUGGUUUAAUUCGAAGCUACGCGAAGAACCUUACCAGGUCUUGACAUCUUGCGCUAACCUUAGAGAUAAGGCGUUCCCUUCGGGGACGCAAUGACAGGUGGUGCAUGGUCGUCGUCAGCUCGUGUCGUGAGAUGUUGGGUUAAGUCCCGCAACGAGCGCAACCCUUGUUACUAGUUGCCAGCAUUAAGUUGGGCACUCUAGUGAGACUGCCGGUGACAAACCGGAGGAAGGUGGGGACGACGUCAGAUCAUCAUGCCCCUUAUGACCUGGGCUACACACGUGCUACAAUGGACGGUACAACGAGUCGCAAGCUCGCGAGAGUAAGCUAAUCUCUUAAAGCCGUUCUCAGUUCGGACUGUAGGCUGCAACUCGCCUACACGAAGUCGGAAUCGCUAGUAAUCGCGGAUCAGCAUGCCGCGGUGAAUACGUUCCCGGGCCUUGUACACACCGCCCGUCA